AGUCCUGUGAGUUCAACUCUGCAGGACUCAGAUCUGUCAGUCAACACAGCAGAAACCACCAUGACUCUCAUCACCAUCCUCAUCUGGACUCUGACCUGCUGCUGUUUCACAGGAUGCAGCAGUCAGGUGACUGUGACUCAACCUCCAGUAGUGACAUUUACUCCUGGAUCCACUGUCACUCUGACCUGUAAGACAAACCCUGCUGUUCGUGUUUGGUCAGAUGGAGAUAGUAGAGUAUACUGGUAUCAGCAGAAAUCUGAAGAAGCUCCAAAGUUGGUGAUCAACCUGGGUAAAAAUCCUACAAGUGAGUUUUCCUCUCGAUUCUCUGGCCGAGGAGACGGAGUGAAUGCUGCGAUGACCAUCAGUACAGUUCAGAAUGACGAUGCAGCAGUUUACUACUGCCAGAGUGCUCAUGAAAUAAACAGUGCUUGGGUGUUCACACAGUGA